GGCUGAAACGUACCACCGAAACUAAGGGAUCCGCAAGGAUCGGUAGAGGAGCAUUGCAUGCGGAACGAAGCAGUACCGUAAGGAGCUGUGGACUGCAUGGAAGAGAGAAUGCCGGAAUGAGUAGCGAGAUAAAGGUGAGAAUCCUUUAGGCCGAAUAUCCAAGGUUUCCAGGGUAAAGCUGAUCUGCCCUGGGUAAGUCGGGGCCUAAGGCGAGGACGAGAGUCGUAGCCGAUGGACAACAGGUGGAGAUUCCUGUACUGCGGUAUGACAGAACUGUGGGGACACGUAAGGAAAGCGGAAGCCGGGAAUGGAAAGCCCGGUGCAAGCAGGGUACCAGUCGCUUAGGCAAAUCCGGGCGGCAAUGGGAAGCUGUGAUGCGGAGCGAAAUACAAGUAGCGAAGUCCGUGAGCCAUGCGUCAAGAAAAGCCGCUAUUGUUUAUACCGUACCCGUACCGUAAACCGACACAGGUGGAUGAGGAGAGAAUCCUAAGGC
rnacentral:rRNA from 1 species